UACACAUUACAGCCGCCGUAUGCAUAAAUUACACUAUAAAUGCACACAGUCACACAACCGAUUGAUUCAAAAUCCCCCAUCGCCGAUCAGAUGCAAGCGGCUUUCAAAGCGGCAUGUCCAGUUGUGAAACCCCAUCUCCCCAAACCAACGAGAGGAGAGAUCCCAGUAAGAUUUACGAACGCAUGCUUCCCUCCUAUCCAUCCAAAGACCAAAAUGUCAGCCGGUAUAAGUGUGGAUCUGCCAUCUUGCGGGUCCAUCAAAAAGUUCAAUGACGCUUCUUUCUUUACAGAAAUACCAGCACGCCGACAAGCAUCAAAGAGAACAUCCCGAACCACAUCAAGUGUAUACUUGAAACCAGGGAGCUCUCUACAAUGAAUCACGUGUUCCCCAAAAGCAUCCAAACAUGCCUUACGACAAACUGGGCAUAUAUCGUGAAUUAGGAAUAUGGAAAUAAUAAUAUAAUGCAAUAUUGUACAAAUCUCCGAUCGAUAUUAGUUGGCCCAAGUCAUAAUAUUGAUUAGCUCUCUUUAAAAGCCAACAUAACAAAAUUUCACAAUCCUUUUUAUCGACAGAUUGUUGUGAUGCGUUGGUAUCAUUCACAAUGGUGAGUUUAAACUCUCAAUGGGGAAUUACAUUAGUGGGUUUGGUACCCUAACUACUUGAUAUAGACGGUUAAUGUUAUUGUUUAUACAAUUGUCUAACGAUGUUGGGUA